rnacentral:rRNA from 1 species
GGAAGGAUCAUUACCGAAUCCGACUCCUUGUCAGAAAAUCACUGUGCACCUGGUGCCCGUUCGUCACGUCCUUCGGGGUUGGGGGCCCAUUAAAUCGGUCGUCUGCUGCUGCACUGCAGUGGUGUCCGGGCCCCGAAGGCUGGCGUGCGGGUGUUCCUUUUCCCUUUUUUUUUCCAACCAAGCAUAUUUGCAGACUGGACUGUGGGCUUUCUUGUGGAAGCUUGUCUCUUGAUUGAUAACCUGGGACAACUUUCAACGGUGGAUCUCUUGGCUCGUGGAUCGAUGAAGAACGCAGCAAAACGCGAUAUGUAGUGUGAAUUGCAGAAUUCAGUGAAUCAUCGAAUCUUUGAACGCAAAUGGCGCUCCUGGGUAUUCCCAGGAGCAUGUCUGUCUCAGUGUCGUUUUCACCUCGAGCGCGCUGCGGCGCGGAGGUCUUGAGGCGUCUGGGUGCGCCGCGGCGCUGCACCAGUCCCUUGAAAUGCAGUGGCCUGACAGUUCCUGGCACGGCUCGUCCCGGACCUGUUCACACGGCUGACAUGGUGACGAUCACCAACCUUGUCGUGUCGCAACAGCCGCGUACCGAGCCGCACAGCCGACGUCUGUGCCAACGGAUACAACCUUCUGCGUUGCGCGCUCUGAACGCGCGGCGUGACAUCUUUGACCUGAGAUCAGGCAGGACUACCCGCUGAAUUUAAGCAUAUUAAUAAGCGGAGG